GAUGAACGCUGGCGGCGUGCCUAAUACAUGCAAGUCGAGCGAACAGACGAGGAGCUUGCUCCUCUGACGUUAGCGGCGGACGGGUGAGUAACACGUGGAUAACCUACCUAUAAGACUGGGAUAACUUCGGGAAACCGGAGCUAAUACCGGAUAAUAUAUUGAACCGCAUGGUUCAAUAGUGAAAGACGGUUUUGCUGUCACUUAUAGAUGGAUCCGCGCCGCAUUAGCUAGUUGGUAAGGUAACGGCUUACCAAGGCAACGAUGCGUAGCCGACCUGAGAGGGUGAUCGGCCACACUGGAACUGAGACACGGUCCAGACUCCUACGGGAGGCAGCAGUAGGGAAUCUUCCGCAAUGGGCGAAAGCCUGUCGGAGCAACGCCGCGUGAGUGAUGAAGGUCUUCGGAUCGUAAAACUCCGUUAUUAGGGAAGAACAAAUGUGUAAGUAACUAUGCACGUCUUGACGGUACCUAAUCAGAAAGCCACGGCUAACUACGUG
rnacentral:rRNA from 1 species